UAUACGCAGAGGCGAUUUCGGUCAAAUCAUGUAAAAUCUUAGUGGCGGACGGGUGAGUAACGCGUGGGUAACCUGCCUUACACUGGGGGAUAACACUUAGAAAUAGGUGCUAAUACCGCAUAAGCGCACGAAGCCGCAUGGAUUUGUGUGAAAAACUCCGGUGGUGUAAGAUGGACCCGCGUCUGAUUAGCUUGUUGGCGGGGUAACGGCCCACCAAGGCGACGAUCAGUAGCCGGCCUGAGAGGGUGGACGGCCACAUUGGGACUGAGACACGGCCCAAACUCCUACGGGAGGCAGCAGUGGGGGAUAUUGGACAAUGGGGGGAACCCUGAUCCAGCGACGCCGCGUGAGUGAAGAAGUAUUUCGGUAUGUAAAGCUCUGUCAGCAGGGAAGAAAGAAAUGACGGUACCUGACCAAGAAGCCCCGGCUAACUACGUGCCAGCAGCCGCGGUAAUACGUAGGGGGCAAGCGUUAUCCGGAAUUACUGGGUGUAAAGGGAGCGUAGACGGUUAAGUAAGUCUGGAGUGAAAGGCCGGGGCCCAACCCCGGGACUGCUCUGGAAACUAUUGAACUUGAGUGCAGGAGAGGUAAGCGGAAUUCCUAGUGUAGCGGUGAAAUGCGUAGAUAUUAGGAGGAACACCAGUGGCGAAGGCGGCUUACUGGACUGUAACUGACGUUG
rnacentral:rRNA from 1 species